CAUUCCCUGAAUGUCGCAGCAACUAGGAGAUAUAUACUACAUACAAAAACUGAAAGCUGAAAUCACAAAUACCGAAUAUUCGAAAUAUUUGAUAUCUGUACUUUUUAUGCAUUCAUCGUAAAAGGAAUGAGACAUAUUUCAAACUGUUCUAAACAUAAAGGCAACAGUAUAGUAUAACGGUGUUCAAAUCGCAAAAAUCGAUUAAAAAACAAAUGAGGGCAAAAACAAAAACUGUAUACCAAUUCGUGACGUUAAUCGUAAGAUUCCAGUAGAUCUUCUUCGCAUUUAUAAUACCUCUGUUAGAACAGUUUUUGUGUAAGGAGCAUAUACCUGUUAAUGACGUCCAUAUAGUUUCAACAGGCGUAACGUAUUACCUUAGAAGUAGCAAAUGAAAUGUUACUGCCAAGAAAUUGAGAGUUUGAGAAUUUGAGAAUUGAAAUAAUAGCGUUUGAACUCGUGCAUAUGUGUCAAUAUCGAGAAAAACAUCAAGUAAUAAAGCAGAAAAUAUCAUGUCGGUGAAAAAUGUCAAUCUCAAGUUCUCCAGGGAAAAUAUGGGAAUCAUGUACCCAUUCAAAUGGGAGUUGUUGAGUGAUAGAACAUAAACAAUAUAUCUGAAAGUGAAAUUAAGGAACGUUGCAAGGUACUUUUUCUUUUUGUCCUUGAUAAUAUCUGUAUGAUUUUCGAAAGCAAUUCGGCCAUUAGUGGUGCAAAUUAGUAUUAUAUAGAUGAUGUUCCCUCACUAAUAUUUAAAUUUUGGUGACUAUGUUAAACACAUCUAUCCCAUCGAACAUUGAGAUGAAAGAUACAACAAAUAAGUUAAAGUCUGCCUCAUAUCUAGACUUACAUCUAGAACUUGACAAUAAGGGUCGGUUGAAAACAAAAACUUUACAACCAAAGAAAUGAUUUCAGCUUCCCAAUUGUGAACUUUCCAUUUCUUUGGAUCAACAUUCCAGCAGCGCCUGCAUACGACGUAUUUAUCUCCCAAUUGAUACAAUAUUCCCAGGCUUUUAUGUCCUAUCAUGGGUUUUCUUGAUAGAAGGUUGCUGCUCACGAGGAAGCUAAUAAAAGAGUUCACAAUGGUGAAGUUGAAAUUAUCCCUUCGUAAAUUUUAUUGACGCCAUCACGAGUCCGUUGACUGUAUGGAAUACUAGUAGCGGAUAUGAAACCACAAUACCUUCCCCUUUUCACGAAUGUGACCUACCAAAUAAGACUUAUUUCCGUGUUUGUACUAACAUUUGCAGCAUGACGAAUGCCACAUGUGGAGCAUGAUCUGCUUACAUUUCGAAGCACACACGAUCACCCCCAGGUUUUGGUGGGGUUCAUGUUGCUAAGUCUAAUCUUUUACUUAAAAUACCAUACGAACCAG
rnacentral:lncRNA from 1 species